rnacentral:lncRNA from 1 species
GCAGUAAAAGUGCUAUUUAAAGCUCUAGGCGGAGAGGAUGCGUUCACCUGCGUCCCUUGCUCAUUGAGCGACAGUGGAAGGGAGAGGAUUCCCUCUAGAUGACUCCAAACUCCGCAGUUCUCUGCUUCCUCCCAGGCUGAGCAGAACCGCGAGGGACUGUCUGCCUGCCCUGCCUGCCUGCCUUCCUGCCUGUUAAAUGUGAACUCGAGCCGGUCUGUGGCUGCCUAGAGGAUGGGAGCCUGGGACUGAGAGGCACCGAGGCAGGUAGAGCGCGUACUGAGAUUCUGUCACAUCAUCGAUGAGAAAAGUGAGCCUCCAGGGGAUUAAAAGACUUGAACAUCUGAGCCAGGAUUUGAAUACAUACCAUACGACCAUGAGCCAAGAUCACCAUUAAAGAUAACCUGUGAGGACUUUAAAAUUUGGAUCCAUUUAAGAACUCAGAAUCCUGGGAUUUUUUUAUUUUUUUAAUUUUUUAUUUUUUUACUCUUAUCAUACAA